rnacentral:rRNA from 1 species
GGUUAAGCGACUAAGCGUACACGGUGGAUGCCACGGCAGUCAGAGGCGAUGAAGGGCGUGCUAAUCUGCGAUAAGCGCCGGUAAGGUGAUAUGAACCGUUAUAACCGGCGAUACCCGAAUGGGGAAACCCAGUGUGAUUCGUCACACUAUCAUUAACUGAAUCCAUAGGUUAAUGAGGCGAACCGGGGAACUGAAACAUCUAAGUACCCCGAGGAAAAGAAAUCAACCGAGAUUCCCCAGUAGCGGCGAGCGAACGGGGAGGAGCCCAGAGCCUGAAUCAGCAUGUGUGUUAGUGGAAGCGUCUGGAAAGGCGCGCGAUACAGGGUGACAGCCCCGUACACAAAAGCGCAUGUGCUGUGAGCUCGAUGAGUAGGGCGGGACACGUGGUAUCCUGUCUGAAUAUGGGGGACCAUCCUCCAAGGCUAAAUACUCCUGACUGACCGAUAGUGAACCAGUACCGUGAGGGAAAGGCGAAAAGAACCCCGGCGAGGGGAGUGAAAAAGAACCUGAAACCGUGUACGUACAAGCAGUGGGAGCACAGGUUUACCUGUGUGACUGCGUACCUUUGUAUAAUGGGUCAGCGACUUAUAUUCUGUAGCAAGGUUAACCGUAUAGGGAGCCGUAGGAAACCGAGUCUUAACCGGGCGUUAAGUUGCAGGGUAUAGACCCGAAACCCGGUGAUCUAGCCAUGGGCAGGUUGAAGGUUGGGUAACACUAACUGGAGGACCGAACCGACUAAUGUUGAAAAAUUAGCGGAUGACCUGUGGCUGGGGUGAAAGGCCAAUCAAACCGGGAGAUAGCUGGUUCUCCCCGAAAGCUAUUUAGGUAGCGCCUCGUGAAUUCAUCUCCGGGGUAGAGCACUGUUUCGGCUAGGGGCCAUCCCGGCUUACCAACCCGAUGCAAACUGCGAAUACCGGAGAAUGUUAUCACGGGAGACACACGGCGGGUGCUAACGUCCGUCGUGAAGAGGAAACAACCCAGACCGCCAGCUAAGGUCCCAAAGUCAUGGUUAAGUGGGAAACGAUGUGGGAAGGCCCAGACAGCCGGGAUGUUGGCUUAGAAGCAGCCAUCAUUUAAAGAAAGCGUAAUAGCUCACUGGUCGAGUCGGCCUGCGCGGAAGAUGUAACGGGGCUAAACCAUGCACCGAAGCUGCGGCAGCGACACUGUGUGUUGUUGGGUAGGGAGCGUUCUGUAAGCCUGUGAAGGUGGCCUGUGAGGGUUGCUGGAGGUAUCAGAAGUGCGAAUGCUGACAUAAGUAACGAUAAAGCGGGUGAAAAGCCCGCUCGCCGGAAGACCAAGGGUUCCUGUCCAACGUUAAUCGGGGCAGGGUGAGUCGACCCUAAGGCGAGGCCGAAAGGCGUAGUCGAUGGGAAACGGGUUAAUAUUCCCGUACUUGGUGUUACUGCGAAGGGGGACGGAGAAGGCUAUGUUGGCCGGGCGACGGUUGUCCCGGUUUAAGCGUGUAGGUGUGUGUUCGGUAAAUCCGGUUCACUUUAACACUGAGGCGUGACGACGAGGCACUACGGUGCUGAAGCAACAAAUGCCCUGCUUCGGGAAAAGCCUCUAAGCAUCAGGUAACAUCAAAUCGUACCCCAAACCGACACAGGUGGUCAGGUAGAGAAUACCAAGGCGCUUGAGAGAACUCGGGUGAAGGAACUAGGCAAAAUGGUGCCGUAACUUCGGGAGAAGGCACGCUGACACGUAGGUGAAGUGAUUUACUCAUGGAGCUGAAGUCAGUCGAAGAUACCAGCUGGCUGCAACUGUUUAUUAAAAACACAGCACUGUGCAAACACGAAAGUGGACGUAUACGGUGUGACGCCUGCCCGGUGCCGGAAGGUUAAUUGAUGGGGUCAGCGCAAGCGAAGCUCCUGAUCGAAGCCCCGGUAAACGGCGGCCGUAACUAUAACGGUCCUAAGGUAGCGAAAUUCCUUGUCGGGUAAGUUCCGACCUGCACGAAUGGCGUAAUGAUGGCGGGCUGUCUCCACCCGAGACUCAGUGAAAUUGAACUCGCUGUGAAGAUGCAGUGUACCCGCGGCAAGACGGAAAGACCCCGUGAACCUUUACUAUAGCUUGACACUGAACAUUGAGCCUUGAUGUGUAGGAUAGGUGGGAGGCUUUGAAGCGUGGACGCCAGUCUGCGUGGAGCCAACCUUGAAAUACCACCCUUUAAUGUUUGAUGUUCUAACGUGGACCCGUAAUCCGGGUUGCGGACAGUGUCUGGUGGGUAGUUUGACUGGGGCGGUCUCCUCCUAAAGAGUAACGGAGGAGCACGAAGGUUGGCUAAUCUGGUCGGACAUCAGGAGGUUAGUGCAAUGGCAUAAGCCAGCUUGACUGCGAGCGUGACGGCGCGAGCAGGUGCGAAAGCAGGUCAUAGUGAUCCGGUGGUUCUGAAUGGAAGGGCCAUCGCUCAACGGAUAAAAGGUACUCCGGGGAUAACAGGCUGAUACCGCCCAAGAGUUCAUAUCGACGGCGGUGUUUGGCACCUCGAUGUCGGCUCAUCACAUCCUGGGGCUGAAGUAGGUCCCAAGGGUAUGGCUGUUCGCCAUUUAAAGUGGUACGCGAGCUGGGUUUAGAACGUCGUGAGACAGUUCGGUCCCUAUCUGCCGUGGGCGCUGGAGAACUGAGGGGGCUGCUCCUAGUACGAGAGGACCGGAGUGGACGCAUCACUGGUGUUCGGGUUGUCAUGCCAAUGGCACUGCCCGGUAGCUAAAUGCGGAAGAGAUAAGUGCUGAAAGCAUCUAAGCACGAAACUUGCCCCGAGAUGAGUUCUCCCUGAGACUUAGAGUCUCCUGAAGGAACGUUGAAGACGACGACGUUGAUAGGCCGGGUGUGUAAGCGCAGCGAUGCGUUGAGCUAACCGGUACUAAUGAACCGUGAGGCUUAACCUU